rnacentral:rRNA from 1 species
CCUACGGGAGGCAGCAGUAGGGAAUAUUGCGCAAUGGGGGGAACCCUGACGCAGCAACGCCACGUGUGGGAAGAAGCAUUUCGGUGUGUAAACCACUGUCGGAAAGGAAUAACGGAAGACUUCGGUCUUUAUGAAUGUACUUUUAGAGGAAGCACCGGCAAACUUCGUGCCAGCAGCCGCGGUA